rnacentral:rRNA from 1 species
GUCGAGGGGCAGCGGGGAGGAAGCUUGCUUUCUCCGCCGGCGACCGGCGCACGGGUGAGUAACACGUAUGCAACCUGCCCCUGUCAGGGGGACAACCCGCCGAAAGGCGGGCUAAACCCGCGUACAUGCCACCGGGGCAUCCCGGAGGCAGGAAAGGCUUCGGCCGGACAGGGAUGGGCAUGCGGCGCAUUAGGCAGUAGGCGGGGUAACGGCCCACCUAACCGACGAUGCGUAGGGGUUCUGAGAGGAAGGUCCCCCACACUGGUACUGAGACACGGACCAGACUCCUACGGGAGGCAGCAGUGAGGAAUAUUGGUCAAUGGUCGGGAGACUGAACCAGCCAAGCCGCGUGAGGGAGGAAGGUACAGAGUAUCGUAAACCUCUUUUGUCAGGGAACAAAGGCGGGGACGUGUCCCCGGAUGAGUGUACCUGAAGAAAAAGCAUCGGCUAACUCCGUGCCAGCAGCCGCGGUAAUACGGAGGAUGCGAGCGUUAUCCGGAUUUAUUGGGUUUAAAGGGUGCGCAGGCGGUCUGUUAAGUCAGCGGUCAAAGCCCGGGGCUCAACCCCGGCCCGCCGUUGAAACUGGCAGUCUCGAGUUGGAGAGAAGUAUGCGGAAUGCGCGGUGUAGCGGUGAAAUGCAUAGAUAUCGCGCAGAACUCCGAUUGCGAAGGCAGCAUGCCGGCUCCACACUGACGCUGAGGCACGAAAGCGUGGGUAUCGAACAGGAUUAGAUACCCUGGUAGUCCACGCAGUAAACGAUGAAUGCUGGCUGUCCGGGGGGAUUGACCCCUGGGUGGCGAAGCGAAAGCGAUAAGCAUUCCACCUGGGGAGUACGCCGGCAACGGUGAAACUCAAAGGAAUUGACGGGGGCCCGCACAAGCGGAGGAACAUGUGGUUUAAUUCGAUGAUACGCGAGGAACCUUACCCGGGCUCAAACGGGGAGUGACUCAGGCAGAGACGCCUGUUUCCCACGGGACACUCCCCGAGGUGCUGCAUGGUUGUCGUCAGCUCGUGCCGUGAGGUGUCGGCUUAAGUGCCAUAACGAGCGCAA